rnacentral:rRNA from 1 species
UACGUAGGGGGCAAGCGUUGUCCGGAAUCAUUGGGCGUAAAGAGCGCGUAGGCGGCCCUGUAAGUCCGCUGUGAAAGUCAAGGGCUCAACCCUUGGAUGCCGGUGGAUACUGCAGGGCUAGAGUCCGGAAGAGGCGAGUGGAAUUCCCGGUGUAGCGGUGGAAUGCGUAGAGAUCGGGAAGAACAUCGGUGGCGAAGGCGGCCUGCUGGGCUCUUGCUGACACUGAGGCGCGACAGCGUGGGGAGCAAACAGG